CCCCAGGCUAGCUCAGUCAGUAGAGAACAAGACUCUUAAUCUCAGGGUAGUGGGUUUGAGCCCCACUUUGGGGG